rnacentral:snRNA from 1 species
GAAUUUGAGGGUGACCUGGCUGUGACAAGCCACCCCACUGAUCACCAGUGUUUUUUUAACUGCUCCUACUGGCUUGCUGGGUGCCCCCGUUCUCCUCCACAGUUCUAUGUCUGUCCUUCCUGCAGCAGAACACUCGGUCAAAAAGGACAUUUCUUUUUUUUAACAUUAAAGAACAUUCCAUGUUGAUUUCUGUUUAGGUAAGUUUCAAAUUUCUAGGUUAUCUGAACCUCCUAGAAUUGGGAAAAAAAUGGCACUUGAAAAUUAAUAAUAGGAAUAAAAAAGUCCCUUUCUUU